AUGACAGGUUAUAUAGUGGGCAGAUCGAUCAUCAACUUCUUCAUAACUAUGUAUACUAAGGCAUUGGAUGACAGGUUAUAUAGUUCGGAAAAUCUGUGUAAAGUACAAAAAAACACUCGAGAGGUAAGGAAUGGAAAGGAAAGUUCUGUAAUAUUUAUAAUUGUAAUUAUUACAGUUGAAUUAGAGAUAUCUAGUCUAACCAGUAUUGUUGUUUGUAAUUAA